rnacentral:piRNA from 1 species
UAAGGCUUGAUUCGGGUUUAAGAACAUG